AUUUUGCGUCAAGCAUACAUUAGACUGGCUCAGCUGCUGUGUGAACGAGGGCCGUCUACCGGAAAAGGAAUUAAUCUUUUACCUCAAACACGAUGAAAUAGCAGAGCUUAUAAAAACCCGAUCCGCCAGACUCAUCAACAAAGCAUUUCGGCUAAGAAAGAUGAUGCCAGCCCUGAUGGCACUGGAGUUCCAAGAGCUUAUCACGGGCUAUCCAACGCCGAUCGAAGAUGGUGACACGAUAGACGUUCCUACAAACAGGGAGCUGAAAGGUGAUUCAUUGCUGUCGCGUU